GGCUCCGGCGCUAUCACCCUGAAGGCGCCCGAUCUCGUCUAAUCUCGGAAGCUAAGCAGGGUCGGGCCUGGUUAAGAUCUUGGAUGGGAGACCACCUGGGAAUCCCGGGUGCUCGAGGCU
rnacentral:rRNA from 1 species